GCGGGUCCCAGGGCAGGAUGCUGAAGGCGGGACCUGUGCUGGGAGCCGCUGAUGGCUGCACGUGGGAUUGUGCCUUUUGUUGUUCCAGCUUACAGGACAGGAACUUUUUAAACUCCUCGGAAUCCUUGCCCUGGUCCUGGGAGCCUGUUCUUCGGAUGCUGGCCAUCUUGCUGCAUGAUAUUUAGAAGCUGCCAGCUUUCUACCCAGCCACUCUAAUCCUUCACAGUCCCAAGGCACGUUUCCCUUCACGGCAGGAUGAUGAGCACCCUUGUUUGGAUGGAGAGGAGAGUGACGUGAUUAGACCCAGUCCACAGGCUGAAAGUAGCACCUUGAAGAGCAAAUUUCCUUGGCCACAUGCUUCCGUUGUGAUUGACUGGCUCACCCCUGCGCCACGCCUUCAUUUGUAUGCACAAAUUUCUUGAGAAAGGUGCUGUUUUCUAGGGUCUUGAUGAUUAAACAAGAAAAGAAAGUUAAGAAGGUCAUAGAAAGGACUGCUUGAGAGCUCCAGUUCUGCUAAGAGAAGCUCUCCCGCCUCCUUCCUUGAAAAUCUCAGAGAAAAACAGUCACAGCUCCUCAGGGCUCACGCCCACUCCUGGGAAACUGGUCUGUCCUGGCUGCAGGAACUGCUCAGGAACAGAACAGUGAGGGACAGAGAAAAGUGUUUUUUGAGAGAAAGACGAGGAAUUCGUCUUUGACUGCACUCACCUCUCAGGAGGAAGAGGGCUGCUCACCAGGGCUCUGUCAUGUUCGGUGAUACAGGACAACUACCCGUGUGGGGCGGGACCGGCGGGUCUACCUGCGACCUUCUCAUGCUUCUUCACUUGGGGACACCUGGGAUUCUGGCUGUAAGAACUGAAGCAGCUACUCUUCUUGAGAAGUUCCUACUUUUAUAAAGGUGGAGAUAAAAUACAUUUCUUGGGCUCUCGCUGUCCAUCUGAUUUUUGCAUUUGCUCCUCUGCCUUUGGGGCUCCACCUUUGGUUCCCAGGCUGCUUCUGGCCAGGGCAAAAAGGUUCCUCUGGGUGAUUCACACCGGCAUUUGGAUUCCAAGCCUCAUAAUAAAUGCUGGCUAUUGCUUGCUUUGGUCUUGGGGAGCUAUGGGAUUGAGGUCUGGAUUCCAUGGCCAACACCUGUGUGUUCUUUGCACUUUCCCAAGGUGCAGUCCGAUUAGGGGAGUUACCAUGGAGAUUACGCAAGCUCACAGGAAGUAUUCCCUCACUUCUCUUCGCAAUCUAUGCUGUGAUUGUGAAGGUGUGCCAAGAGAACAACCUUAACAUUGCCAUAAA